AUGAACGCUAGCUACAGGCUUAACACAUGCAAGUCGAGGGGCAGCAUUUUAGUUUGCUUGCAAACUGAAGAUAGCGACCGGCGCACGGGUGAGUAACACGUAUCCAACCUGCCGAUAACUCCGGAAUAGCCUUUCGAAAGAAAGAUUAAUACCGGAUAGCAUACGAAUAUCGCAUGAUAUUUUUAUUAAAGAAUUUCGGUUAUCGAUGGGGAUGCGUUCCAUUAGUUUGUUGGCGGGGUAACGGCCCACCAAGACUACGAUGGAUAGGGGUUCUGAGAGGAAGGUCCCCCACAUUGGAACUGAGACACGGUCCAAACUCCUACGGGAGGCAGCAGUGAGGAAUAUUGGUCAAUGGGCGAGAGCCUGAACCAGCCAAGUAGCGUGAAGGAUGAAGGCUCUAUGGGUCGUAAACUUCUUUUAUAUGGGAAUAAAGUUUUCCACGUGUGGAAUUUUGUAUGUACCAUAUGAAUAAGGAUCGGCUAACUCCGUGCCAGCAGCCGCGGUAAUACGGAGGAUCCGAGCGUUAUCCGGAUUUAUUGGGUUUAAAGGGAGCGUAGGUGGAUUGUUAAGUCAGUUGUGAAAGUUUGCGGCUCAACCGUAAAAUUGCAGUUGAAACUGGCAGUCUUGAGUACAGUAGAGGUGGGCGGAAUUCGUGGUGUAGCGGUGAAAUGCUUAGAUAUCACGAAGAACUCCGAUUGCGAAGGCAGCUCACUAGACUGUCACUGACACUGAUGCUCGAAAGUGUGGGUAUCAAACAGGAUUAGAUACCCUGGUAGUCCACACAGUAAACGAUGAAUACUCGCUGUUUGCGAUAUACAGUAAGCGGCCAAGCGAAAGCAUUAAGUAUUCCACCUGGGGAGUACGCCGGCAACGGUGAAACUCAAAGGAAUUGACGGGGGCCCGCACAAGCGGAGGAACAUGUGGUUUAAUUCGAUGAUACGCGAGGAACCUUACCCGGGCUUAAAUUGCAACAGAAUAUAUUGGAAACAGUAUAGCCGUAAGGCUGUUGUGAAGGUGCUGCAUGGUUGUCGUCAGCUCGUGCCGUGAGGUGUCGGCUUAAGUGCCAUAACGAGCGCAACCCUUAUCUUUAGUUACUAACAGGUCAUGCUGAGGACUCUAGAGAGACUGCCGUCGUAAGAUGUGAGGAAGGUGGGGAUGACGUCAAAUCAGCACGGCCCUUACGUCCGGGGCUACACACGUGUUACAAUGGGGGGUACAGAAGGCGGCUACCUGGUGACAGGAUGCUAAUCCCAAAAACCUCUCUCAGUUCGGAUCGAAGUCUGCAACCCGACUUCGUGAAGCUGGAUUCGCUAGUAAUCGCGCAUCAGCCAUGGCGCGGUGAAUACGUUCCCGGGCCUUGUACACACCGCCCGUCAAGCCAUGAAAGCCGGGGGUACCUGAAGUACGUAACCGCAAGGAGCGUCCUAGGGUAAAACUGGUAAUUGGGGCU
rnacentral:rRNA from 1 species